rnacentral:rRNA from 1 species
GAUGAACGCUAGCGGCAGGCUUAAUACAUGCAAGUCGAGGGGCAGCGCAGUGUAGCAAUACAUGGGCGGCGACCGGCAAACGGGUGCGUAACACGUACGCAACCUUCCCGUUACUGUGGGAUAGCCCAGGGAAACUUGGAUUAAUACCACAUAUUGCCAUUGGGAGGCAUCUCUUGAUGGCCAAAGAAUUUCGGUAACGGAUGGGCGUGCGGUUGAUUAGGUAGUUGGCGGGGUAACGGCCCACCAAGCCUACGAUCAAUAGCUGAUGUGAGAGGAUGAUCAGCCACACUGGGACUGAGACACGGCCCAGACUCCUACGGGAGGCAGCAGUGGGGAAUAUUGGACAAUGGGCGAAAGACCUGAUCCAGCAAUGCCGCGUGAGUGAUGAAGG